AGAGUUUGAUCCUGGCUCAGAGUGAACGCUGGCGGCAUGCCUAACACAUGCAAGUCGAACGGUAACAGGCCCGCAAGGGUGCUGACGAGUGGCGGACGGGUGAGGAAUACAUCGGAAUCUGCCCGGUUGUGGGGGAUAACGUAGGGAAACUUACGCUAAUACCGCAUACGACCGAAAGGUGAAAGCGUGGGAUCCGCAAGGACCUCGCGCAGCCGGAUGAGCCGAUGUCGGAUUAGCUAGUUGGCGGGGUAAAGGCCCACCAAGGCGACGAUCCGUAGCUGGUCUGAGAGGAUGAUCAGCCACACUGGGACUGAGACACGGCCCAGACUCCUACGGGAGGCAGCAGUGGGGAAUAUUGGACAAUGGGGGCAACCCUGAUCCAGCAAUGCCGCGUGUGUGAAGAAGGCCUUCGGGUUGUAAAGCACUUUUAUCCGGAACGAAACGCGCAGGGUGAAUAGCCUUUGCGAACUGACGGUACCGGAGGAAUAAGCACCGGCUAACUUCGUGCCAGCAGCCGCGGUAAUACGAAGGGUGCAAACGUUACUCGGAAUUACUGGGCGUAAAGCGUGCGUAGGUGGUUUGUUAAGUCUGCUGUGAAAGCCCCGGGCUCAACCUGGGAAUGGCAGUGGAUACUGGCAAGCUAGAGUGCGGUAGAGGGUAGUGGAAUUCCCGGUGUAGCGGUGAAAUGCGUAGAGAUCGGGAGGAACACCAGUGGCGAAGGCGGCUACCUGGACCAGCACUGACACUGAGGCACGAAAGCGUGGGGAGCAAACAGGAUUAGAUACCCUAGUAGUCC
rnacentral:rRNA from 1 species